rnacentral:rRNA from 1 species
GUGCCAGCAGCCGCGGCAAUACGGGGGGUGCAAGCGUUGUUCGGAAUCACUGGGCGUAAAGGGCGUGUAGGCGGCCCGGUAAGUGGGAUGUGAAAUGCCCCGGCUCACCCGGGGACCGGCAUCCCAAACUGCAAGGCUUGAGUAUGGGAGAGGAUGAGGGAAUUCCUAGUGUAGGAGUGAAAUCCGUAGAUAUUAGGAGGAACACCGGUGGCGAAGGCGGCUACCUGGACCGAUAUUGACGCUGAGACGCGAAAGCGUGGGUAGCAAACAGGAUUAGAUACCCUGGUAGUCCACGCCGUAAACGAUGAGUACUAGGUGUUGCGGGUAUUGACCCCUGCAGUGCCGCAGCUAACGCAUUAAGUACUCCGCCUGGGAAGUACGGUCGCAAGACUAAAACUUAAAGGAAUUGACGG